UACGGAGGGGGCUAGCGUUGUUCGGAAUUACUGGGCGUAAAGCGCACGUAGGCGGCUUUGUAAGUUAGAGGUGAAAGCCCAGGGCUUAACCCUGGAAUUGCCUUUAAGACUGCAUCGCUAGAAUCGUGGAGAGGUGAGUGGAAUUCCGAGUGUAGAGGUGAAAUUCGUAGAUAUUCGGAAGAACACCAGUGGCGAAGGCGACUCACUGGACACGUAUUGACGCUGAGGUGCGAAAGCG
rnacentral:rRNA from 1 species